CAGCGGCCGGCUGGAGCCAGAGGCCUGGGGCAGUCGGAGGAGCCCGGGCUCGGGCGUUGGGGGCGCAGGCCUCCCGCUGGUGAGGGCGGCUCCCGAGGGUGCCCUGUGCCCACCCUCCAACACUCGCGCCUCCUGCGCGCGCUCCUGGCCUCCUUGCGGCGCUAGCCACCCAGCCCGAGCCUCCUGGCGCCGCCUAGUCCACGCGGAAGUCCCCGAGUGACCUGGGGGAGGCCCUCCCUCCCCACGCACGCAGAUUCACGAGCCCGCGCGGAGCACGAGUGACGCGUGCUCGCCGGCCCGGCACCGGCGUCCCCUCCAUCCUCCUCCCGCUUCCUGUCCCCGCGCCGCCCAGCUCCUGGCCUCGCAGCCACGUCCCCUCCUGAGCCCAGGCUGCGGUGAAACCUGUUGCUGUGGCUCACGUUUCUAUCCCCUCCCGCGGCCGCUGAAAUGGCUCAGCGAGGCGUGCCUGUGGGAAGCCAGGGGUAAGUGUUAGAAGGGUAAGUGGCUUGGUGGUGGGGGCCGCGGUGGGUUUGGGGGCAUCCAGAGACUCUCCUCCCACCUCCUGGCAAGAAGACCCGAAGGAAGGGCGAGGCUGUGUCCUGUGAGGUGCGCCUACAACAUUUGAUGGCUUUGCUUCCUUCAAUUUCUCUGGAACCCAAGAAACCUGUGCUGGAUUUUUCAGAUAUGCAAGGGUGGUCUCAGGUUGGCAGCUCUUUUUAGGAGGGAGCGUUCUUGGAGUGAAAGGUACCAGCAGUUGGAAAACUUAGCUGUUCACAGAAUGCCUUUUAAGGGCUAAGAAUUUCCUGUGAAGGAACCCGUCCGCCUGCAAGAACUGGAAACUAGGAAAUGCCCUCCUCCCUGUGGUGAUAAUGAAAAAGAGCACUUAGCCCUACCACAGAUUGGGAAAGUCAGCCCCUGGACUUCCAGAUUCAGGCUGUUACUAAUUAUUCCAGUGAAUUCUGUCCAGGCCUGGCAUAGUGCAGAUGGGGGACAGGGGAUGCCUGGGAUUCUUUUGCAGGGAGAGGCUGCCACCCUUACCAUUCUUCUGUGCCCUUCUGGGGACUGUAUAUAGCAGGACUGCUUCCACUUAGGUAGUCCUGAGCCCUGAGCCUGAAAAUUCAAGCUGAGCUUGUAGCUUGUCUAGAAGGAACAGUGGUAUGAAUAACAGGAAAAGGGGCUCUCUGGUCUGACCAGCUCUUCUGUAAAAAGCAGCUGAUUGUAACUUAAAAUAUACUUUAUGCCAACAUCUGUAAACAACCUGCCUUUAUAAUCCAAAUAUGGUUUGAUUUCAGGGUUGCUGCAGAGCCCCAGCUGCCUACUUGGGUGUGGAGGUGGCCCUGAGAAUGUUUAAAGAGCUAGGAACGAGAGAACUGCUCUUCCGUGCCCCUUAUGACCUCACAAGGCUUAGGUCAGGAAAAGUGUCUGCUCUGUGGCAGGACACAGGGAGACCAGUAAGCAUUGGUGGACUGGGGUGACAGGGAGAUUCCAUUUUUAUGCCUUAGGCCUCCCCAUCUCCCACCCACUCUCCCUCCUGGGCACCUGCUUACUCCCCUGCCAUCCAGAUGGUCCAUGUUGUGUUCAGGAAAUGCAAAAUAAGGCCUAAGAAAAACAUUUGGCAAGGUAAAUUCACUGCCAAAAAUGCAUGGUAUUUCAAAGCCAAAUAUAAAUGUCUUUGAAUUAUCUGUAUUUUCACAUUAUUAUUUGACCAGAUAUUCCAGAUCAGAUGGGAAAGUACCCAGCUUCCCUUUCCUCUUCUCUUCAUGCAAGGUGCUUGGCUAGACUACUUUCCAUUCUGUUUCCAGCUUUCCAUCUCCUGCCAAGAACCCACCCACUUGGGAACUGGAAGCCCUGCUAGCUCCUAGGCCCACUACAGUCUACAGCUCUGUCCAGCAGGAUGGAGAGAUGAUUUGCAAAGUGAUUGAAAGGAACAUUUUCUCAAGUUAAAAGUUGAACGUCAUAGGUGCCAGUCAAGUGGGAGUCACCCCAGAGCCCUCUAGUUCCUGAACCUUCCCCAUCCAUCACCAGGUACAGGGUCCCUCUUGAAUAUCCAUUAGCCCCUGCCCAUUCUCAUGCAGCCAGAGUGGCCUUUCUAACAAUGCAAAUCUGCUUUCUUCUCUCCCUUGCUCCAUUAAAACCCCACAGGGCUCCUUCAGGGAACUGAUGCCCACCACUGCCUCCAACUUCCUUUGGCAAAUUUUAACUCAGCUAAAAAGUCUCAAUGUAAAUGUCACUUCCUAUUGGGCAGCUCCUCUGAUUCCUGCCACCCCCUGGGUGAUUGCUGGUCCAGUCCACUAGACUCAGGCUAUAUAUAUAUAUAUAUAUAUAUAUAUAUAUAUAUAUAUAUAAAAUACAUGUAUCUGAAAAAAAGUUUUAUGAAAAUCUUAUAUCAUAAAAUCUUAUUCUAAUGUAUUUAGAACAGAAUCUAGUCAUACCUCACCAUGGGGCUUUCUAACCCUUUGUGGGUCAGGGUUGUUAGGGUAAAAGAUGCUCUGAUUUCCACAAGGGCAGGGCUAUGGUGUUUGUUGCUGAGUUUAUGAACAACAUUAUCUAACUCAUUUAAUUCUCAAAAAUCCCAUGAGGAAGCCAUUAUUGUCUCCAUUUACAGGUGAGAAGGUCAAGGACAGUGAGGUCAAGUAUCUUGCCAAAGUCAAAAUGCUAGAACAGUAGGUAGUGGAGCCAGUUCUAGAAGCUGGACAGUCACUCAGCCAUGCACUUCAGAUCCCUGACCCUGCUGCAUACAGAAUUUUUCCAAGCAAAGAUGUUAGGAGGCAACACCUCAGACUAGGUCUCAGCCUCCUGCCCUCCAAUCUUGGGCAUCUUACACCUGCAGAGAAGAAGCACUGAGGGCACCUUCCUCCUCAGCCCCACUGUGUUCCAUCUCCUCCAGGGCCACCCAGCUCAGCAAGAAUCAGCAGAGAGUUGAUCAUGUCCAGGAAGGCCCUAGAACUCCAAAGAUGAAAUCUCACAUUGGAUGAACUCUGCAUUAAGUUCCCUCAAAACAAAUCCUAUAAGAAGGAAGCCACAGUGAGUAUGGAUCUUCAAUAGGAAACCAUCCAGACUCAUCCUCAAAGGGUUGAGACAAGAUGACAUUUCUCAGGAUCAGUGCUGUUGAUAGGAUUUUAAAUGUGUAAGUCAGAGAGUUUGAAAAGGGAAGAAUAGAUCUAUUUGCAAAAUUCCCAAACCAAUUUUGAAAUCAUCAGCCUUGACUCUGAGCUUCCCUGUGCUGUGGCAUUUAGAGUAAUAAAGACAUGGCUGGCAGAGGGCUUGCGUCUCAUCUUUAUUGCAUGAACUACAUGCAGGUCAUGCCACAUGCAGAUGCUGUGUGAGAGUGACUGGAGUGAACUGUAUAUAGAAUGUCUGGAACCCAUCCCCCAUUUCUGACCCAGCCUAGGACCACAGCUUCCCAUGAAAGGGGCCUGACUACUUGGCCGUGGUGUUUGGCAGAUAGAAUCAAUGGGAUGCCCUAAUGGAUGAAGCUAGAAAAUACAGCAUAAAAAUGGCCCUGAAUCUUUUCAUCACCAUCCUUAUUGAAAGGCACAGUGUAUCCCUCUGCUCACUCAAACCAGGGUCUUCCUGUUAGCUACCUGCAACAUUUCUUCUUUAAUUCUGCAGAUACUGUGGCUUGAUCUUCGCUAUAUGUGUAGAUAUUUUCAAGAUGGAACCUAAGUAUAUAUAAUGUGGUUUUCUUCUUUCUUUCAUUUGGACAGAGCUGUACUUACAUAGAGAAAAUUCCCUUUAAAACACAUACACACCUUAAAGGUUUUGGUUCUGUGGCAAACUGUGAGAUUGUAUUUAUUUCCUACGUUUUCCUCAAU
rnacentral:lncRNA from 1 species